rnacentral:rRNA from 1 species
AUUGAACGCUGGCGGCAGGCCUAACACAUGCAAGUCGAACGAGUGGCGGACGGGUGAGUAAUAUCUGGGAAACUGCCUGAUGGAGGGGGAUAACUACUGGACACGGUAGCUAAUACCGCAUACCAUCAGAUGGGCCCAGAUUGGAUUAGCUAGUAGGUGGGGUAAUGGCUCACCUAGGCAACGAUCCCUAGCUGGUGUGAGAGGAGGACCAGCCACACUGGAACUGUGACACGGUCCAGACUCCUACGUGAGGCAGCAGUGGGAAAUUUUGCACAAUGGGGGAAAGCCUGAUCCAGCCAUGCCGCGUGUGUGAAGAAGGCCUUCGGGUUGUAAAGCACUUUUGGCGAGGAGGCGUUACUCGCAGAAGAAGCACCGGCUAACUACGUGCCAGCAGCCGCGGUAAUAC